rnacentral:rRNA from 1 species
GUAGGGUGCGAGCGUUAAUCGGAAUUACUGGGCGUAAAGCGUGCGCAGGCGGUUGUGCAAGACAGAUGUGAAAUCCCCGGGCUCAACCUGGGAAUUGCAUUUGUGACUGCACGGCUAGAGUGUGUCAGAGGGGGGUAGAAUUCCACGUGUAGCAGUGAAAUGCGUAGAGAUGUGGAGGAAUACCGAUGGCGAAGGCAGCCCCCUGGGAUAACACUGACGCUCAUGCACGAAAGCGUGGGGAGCAAACAGGAUUAGAUACCCUGGUAGUCCCACGCCCCUAAACGAUGUCAACUAGUUGUCGGGUCUUAAUUGACUUGGUAACGCAGCUAACGCGUAAAGUUGACCGCCUGGGGAGUACGGUCGCAAGAUUA